AUACCGGUCAGAUUUCUACUUACUAUUUCAGCUCCACUACGACCACUCAACAUUUCUCUACAUCAAGAAAUCAUCUAGUAUGUACCUAUAAUAAAAUAGACAGCAUCAUCCUCAAGAAGCAUGCGGCAGUAUAAAAUGAUAAAAGCGAUCCCAGUACAGGCGGCCGACACCACCACCCACACGUUUUUGGUUGUGUCCACCGCGGUGGUGGUGGUGGCGGCCAUCGUCUUCUACCUCGCCACCAGGGACUGGAAGGGAUGCACGUGCCCCGAGGAAGUGGACCUCGGCACCUUCCGAAGGAAUAUGAACAACGGCACACGCAAGAAAACCAUCGAGUACCAAGACCCCCCCUAUUACUCUUAAUGUUCAUUUGAAACAGAAUAAAUCCAAUUGAAACCACAAGA